GAUGAACGCUGACAGAAUGCUUAACACAUGCAAGUCAACUUGAAUUUGGGUUUUUUCACUUAGAUUUGGGUGGCGGACGGGUGAGUAACGCGUAAAGAACUUGCCUCACAGCUAGGGACAACAUUUGGAAACGAAUGCUAAUACCUGAUAUUAUGAUUAUAAGGCAUCUUAGAAUUAUGAAAGCUAUAUGCGCUGUGAGAGAGCUUUGCGUCCCAUUAGCUAGUUGGAGAGGUAACGGCUCACCAAGGCGAUGAUGGGUAGCCGGCCUGAGAGGGUGAACGGCCACAAGGGGACUGAGACACGGCCCUUACUCCUACGGGAGGCAGCAGUGGGGAAUAUUGGACAAUGGACCAAGAGUCUGAUCCAGCAAUUCUGUGUGCACGAUGACGUUUUUCGGAAUGUAAAGUGCUUUCAGUUGGGAAGAAAAAAAUGACGGUACCAACAGAAGAAGUGACGGCUAAAUACGU
rnacentral:rRNA from 1 species